GCCAGGGAACUACGAGCAAAGCUUAAAACCCAAAGGACUUGACGGUGCCCAUAUCCCACUAGAGGAGCCUGUCCUAUAAUCGAUGAUCCCCGUUAAACCUCACCACUUCUAGCCUAUCAGCCUGUAUAUUUCCGUCGUAAGCUAACCGCAUGAGUGAAACUCAGUUAGUACAAAGACCAACAAGACACCCCCCCCCGUCAACACGUCAGGUCAAAAUGCAGCAAAUGAAGUGGGAAGAGAUUGGCUACACUUUUUACUUUAAAAGAAAACGAAAGACAAUAAUGAAACUUUGUCAGAAGGCGGAUUUAGUAGUAAAAAGAAUUCAUAAUAUUCAUUUGAACCUGGCACUGGAACCUGU
rnacentral:rRNA from 1 species